rnacentral:rRNA from 1 species
UAAUGUAUGGGGAUCUGCCCGAUAGAGGGGGAUAACUACUGGAAACGGUGGCUAAUACCGCAUAAUGUCUACGGACCAAAGCAGGGGCUCUUCGGACCUUGCACUAUCGGAUGAACCCAUAUGGGAUUAGCUAGUAGGUGGGGUAAAGGCUCACCUAGGCGACGAUCUCUAGCUGGUCUGAGAGGAUGAUCAGCCACACUGGGACUGAGACACGGCCCAG